rnacentral:sRNA from 1 species
AAGCCUGCAGACAACACUGUCAUGCUUUUCUUUUCAACAGAUGUCCUCUGACUCCUCCCAACCUCCUAGUACAAAAAACAUAAAAAUCUUUGUAUGUUUUGCAUCUGUUUAAAAAAGAUGCCUUUAAAAAUGAUAUCAGUAUCAAGAUAAAAGUUUGGAAUGGGAGAAAAAUUCUCAAAGCCUGAAAGAAAAUCUGUAAGAAUAAAAUUCUUGAAUGAUUUUGAUCAGCUGUCGUGUAUGCCCAACACAGCAGUUGGUUUAAUCAAUUUUAUGUUUUGGGAUGGUUUUAUUAAAAUGAGCUGCUGCUUUCAGUAAAUCAUUGAGAAAGA